GACGUAGGGCGCGAGCGUUGUCCGGAAUUAUUGGGCGUAAAGAGCUCGUAGGCGGCUUGUUGCGUCGGCUGUGAAAACCCGCGGCUUAACCUGGGAAUGGCAUUUGGGACUGCAAGGCUUGAGUGCGGCAGAGGAGACUGGAAUUCCUGGUGUAGCAGUGAAAUGCGUAGAUAUCAGGAGGAAUACCGAUGGCGAAGGCAGGUCUCUGGGCUGACACUGACGCUCAUGCACGAAAGCGUGGGGAGCAAACAGG
rnacentral:rRNA from 1 species